UGAGGGGGCGGGGCCUUCCUGCUUCCCUCAGGCGCUACCCCGGGGCGCUGGGGGAGGGGGGCCUAAGGAGGGGCCAGAGGAGGGGGUAGGGGAGAGGCGAAGCCGGUCCUCCACAGUCGUCUGCAGGCGCUGCUGUUUAUGUCGGCGUCAUAUCCAAGGGAACAUUGCUGUCCUGAAAGUAACCUGCAGAGGCGUCAGCCACCAGACCAAUGUCCUCAGACUUGAGCUGCAGAAGAAGGGGGUUCUGCAAUGUGGAGCAGAUUCUGAAGGCUAGCACUGAGAUUCUGAUAAGGUGUGUCUCCGUCUUACCUAGAGGGGCCUGCAACUUCCAACGCCAGCUGCUGACUCAUCGUGACCCAACAGGCACUGCCAGGUGGCCUUCAGGUACCUCAGCGUGUCUGGGUGGGAGGCAUCACAGCUGAACAGGAAGUCGGCGGCCCUCGGGUCACUGAUGGAGCCCCCUUCGGCCACUGUGGAGAGUAAUGGGCGGGAAAAGCCUGCGGCAAGAAGGUGAGGCGUCUGGCUGGCACUGCUGGAGAGCUGACCGGCUCUGAGGCUGUGGAGAGACCGUUCAGCUUUCCCCUGACAUUGCGGAGAGCGCCUAGUCACGUUGGUGAGUUUUAAACCCUCAGUAUUCAAGUUAUUGUGCUAUUGUUACAGGCAUGGGCACAGGUUCUGUGGCAUCAAGCAUUAUUUUGCAGCAAAACUCAUUGUAUCAUUUCAUUUAUAAGUGUUUCAGUUACAAUCUCUAAAGAUAAGGAGUUUCAAAAAAGCAAAACCACAAUACCAUUAUCACACUUAAAAAUAGUAAUUCUUUAAUAUUGUCAAAUUUCACCGGUGCCGAAAUUUCCGGUUUUUUUCAAAAUUAUGUUUUUCUUUUACAGUUUCCACCACCACCACACUUUGCUUCCUUGCAUCACUUUUGAUAAAGUCUAUUUUCCUGGUGUUGGGUCCAUUAAAUCGAAACUCUCAAAAAUACUGAUAUAAAGCCUAUAAAACAUUUUACUAUCUUUUUUAAUGCCUGCAGGUUCUGUAACAAUGGUUCCUUAUUCAUUUCUGUUAUUAGCUAUUUGUGCCUUUUUAUUUCUUAGUCUCACCAGAAGUUUGUCAAUUUUAUUAGCCUUUUCAAAGAACAAACUUGUGGCUCUUUGUUGAUACUCUUUUAUGUGU